UACGUAGGGUGCGAGCGUUGUCCGGAAUUAUUGGGCGUAAAGAGCUUGUAGGCGGCUUGUCGCGUCUGCUGUGAAAACCCGGGGCUUAACCCCGGGCCUGCAGUGGGUACGGGCAGGCUAGAGUGUGGUAGGGGAGACUGGAAUUCCUGGUGUAGCGGUGGAAUGCGCAGAUAUCAGGAGGAACACCGAUGGCGAAGGCAGGUCUCUGGGCCAUUACUGACGCUGAGAAGCGAAAGCGUGGGGAGCGAACAGGAUUAGAAACCCCCGUAGUCC
rnacentral:rRNA from 1 species